UAGACUUUCGUUCCGACCACAAGGUCCAUAUGUGAGUUGCGAAUCUAAGCCAACAUGGAUCCCGAUUUCGAGUCACAUAGUGCGAAUCUGAGACAUUCGUAGUUCAAAUCGCAAGUGGUUCGCUACGAGUCGUGCAUAUGCGAAUCGAAGUUAGUCCUCGAAUCCAAACAUUCCAAAUUCAGAUCAUCCCAACAACGAAUAGUAGGAUCUGAAUCCGAUUUUUAUUAUGACGGUUGUAGGGAUUAAAAUUGCAAGCCCAGAUUUCCAUCCCCGAUUCCUAGACCUUUCGCUGUGAAUCAGUCAAUCACAGUCCUGAUGCGAAAUACAGUCAACCACGAAUCCAAGGUAUCAUACUCCGAACAUUCAUUGGUGAAAAACGAGUGCGAGCCUAGUUCCGAUCGUUCGCAGGAACAUCCGCUCAAAUCACCCCGAUUUCAUUCAUUCGCAGGGUUGACCAACAAAUAACGAACAAGCAUACAAACAUUCCGAUUCAUUCAUUUUGAGCAGUGUGAUCCAGAUGGAUUUAGCAAUUCCAGAGUGUAAUUAAGUCCCAAUCGAAUAAUAUUCUUCCGACAGCCAAAUGUUCAUUACCCUAUUGUUCCAAAACUUACAUUCAUCGAUUUUUCUAUAUUUGUUCUUCAUUGGUUCUAAGUUUGAUUAGGUUAAACUAAACCGAUUAGAAGAGCAACACUCAGGAGCAAGACCAAAGUCAAAUAGAAAUCAAGAGUUGUAAGGUACAACAAAACAACUGAUCAUUUAAUUGUAAAAAAAAUUAUAUGCGAGAUAUGAGAUAUCAAUCGCCGAUUUAGGAACAAUAAACAGUGAACGAUUAUUGUGCGCUAAAGAAUGAACAGUAAACAGACUAGUUGGGAUCAAGAACAAAAUAGAAUCGAAUA